rnacentral:rRNA from 1 species
GAUGAACGCUGGCGGCGUGCCUAAUACAUGCAAGUCGAGCGAACGGACGAGAAGCUUGCUUUUCUGAUGUUAGCGGCGGACGGGUGAGUAACACGUGGAUAACCUACCUAUAAGACUGGGAUAACUUCGGGAAACCGGAGCUAAUACCGGAUAAUACUUCGAACCGCAUGGUUCAAAAGUGAAAGACGGUCUUGCUGUCACAUUUAGAUGGAUCCGCGCUGCAUUAGCUAGUUGGUAAGGUAACGGCUUACCAAGGCAACGAUGCAUAGCCGACCUGAGAGGGUGAUCGGCCACACUGGAACUGAGACACGGUCCAGACUCCUACGGGAGGCAGCAGUAGGGAAUCUUCCGCAAUGGGCGAAAGCCUGACGGAGCAACGCCGCGUGAGUGAUGAAGGUCUUCGGAUCGUAAAACUCUGUUAUUAGGGAAGAACAUAUGUGUAAGUAACUGUGCACAUCUUGACGGUACCUAAUCAGAAAGCCACGGCUAACUACGUG